GUGGGGAAUUUUGCGCAAUGGGGGAAACCCUGACGCAGCGACGCCGCGUGGGCGAUGAAGGCCUUCGGGUCGUAAAGCCCUGUCGAGCGGAACGAAACGUAUCGGCUCUAACAUAGCCGAUGCCUGACGGUACCGCUGGAGGAAGCCCCGGCCAACUCCGUGCCAGCAGCCGCGGUAAUACGGAGGGGGCAAGCGUUAUUCGGAAUUAUUGGGCGUAAAGGGCGUGUAGGCGGCUUCGUAUGUCCUCUGUGAAAGCCCUCGGCUCAACCGAGGAACUGCAGAAGAAACUGCGGAGCUCGAGUCCGGGAGAGGAGAGCGGAAUUCCCAGUGUAGCGGUGAAAUGCGUAGAUAUUGGGAGGAACACCGGUGGCGAAGGCGGCUCUCUGGACCGGUACUGACGCUGAGACGCGAAAGCUAGGGGAGCAAACGGGAUUAGAAACCCUAGUAGUCC
rnacentral:rRNA from 1 species